ACUUGUGUUAAUAUAAAACUUUUAGCAUCAAACGGAGCCCUUUGCCCCCUGAAAUGGGAAUGCAAAGUGGGGUGUCGAUGUUCUGCCGGUUAUAUCAAGGAUGAAUAUAGCAAAAACUGUGUUUUGAUUCAUCACUGUCCUGACGAAGACUCAUGUCCAGCGGGGGAAAUAAUGGGCACGAAUCUGCAAUGCAUUAUGCGACGCCACACUACCGUCACUAAUGAUGAUCAUUGGCAGUACUAUGGAGAAUAGAACAAUUUUAUAAUCAUAUUUUUUUGUCAACGUAAAGUUAAGAUUAAACUUUAGGCAAUA